AUUUUUGAAUUGCAGAAUAAUUAGAUGUACUAUCUAGUGUAUAUAAGAUAUCUAUGGUUUCAUUAUAAAGUAUAACGAUUAAGUUUGUUAUAGAGACUGCAAUCCAGGGCCCAAAAACCUACAAACGCUUCAACAAAGCAACGACGUCACUUUGUACAACAGAAUAAGAAGACAAUAAAUAUUAUGUGUGUAACUUUGCCAAAUCGGCAGACGUUGAACAGAAGACACCUUUGUUUCAUCAAAUAGAAUUACUUUUAGAAUAAAAAUAACUGUUUCUCCUCCUAAUGUUGCUGGGUGUAAUCAUAGACAAUCAAAGGAAUUCCUUUGAUUGUCUAUGGUGUAAUAUUUCAAAUCCGACUGUUAGAACUGGAUUAGAUUUCAAGUCCGAGCAAUUUGAUCGCGGUAUGGAGGCGAAACCGUGAACUGGAUCAAAAUUCGAGAUUUGGAAUGACAUCUCGUGACAUUGUUUAAAUUGAGGUGAAUUAAUUAUGAUCCAUUCCAAGGAAUUAAUUUGAUUCAGUUCUAGGACUGAAAUAAUAUACUUCACUAGGUAUCCAGUAUUAUCAUGUGAGCAAAAUAAAGCAAUAUGGUUGGCUAAUUUACUCAUGAAUUAUUAAUGAGUUUGAGAUACAAUAGAUAAGUAAUUAGUAGCUCACGGACAAUUUUACUGAUUACAGUACAGCUCUAGUCGCUUUAGAGUAGUUUAUUUGAAUAUAACUGAUUGUAUAACUGUAUAAAUUUUAAAAAUCUAG
rnacentral:lncRNA from 1 species